rnacentral:rRNA from 1 species
UACGGGGGGGGCAAGCGUUGUUCGGAAUUACUGGGCGUAAAGGGCUUGUAGGUGGCCAACUAAGUCAGACGUGAAAUCCCCAGGCUUAACUUGGGAACUGCGUCUGAUACUGGGAGGCUUGAGUGCGGGAGAGGGAUGUGGAAUUCCAGGUGUAGCGGUGAAAUGCGUAGAUAUCUGGAGGAACACCGGUGGCGAAGGCGGCAUCCUGGACCAACACUGACACUGAGGAGCGAAAGCCAGGGGAGCAAACGGG